rnacentral:rRNA from 1 species
UACGGAGGGGGCUAGCGUUGUUCGGAAUUACUGGGCGUAAAGCGCGCGCAGGCGGUCCUUCAAGUCAGAGGUGGAAGCCCAGAGCUCAACUCUGGAACGGCCUUUGAGACUAGAGGACUUGGGUACGGGAGAGGUGAGUGGAAUUCCGAGUGUAGAGGUGAAAUUCGUAGAUAUUCGGAAGAACACCAGUGGCGAAGGCGGCUCACUGGCCCGUUACCGACGCUCAGGCGCGACAGCGUGGGGAGCAAACAGG